AAUACCGGAUAUGACGCACGGAGGCAUCUCCUGUGCGUGGAAAGAACUUCGGUCAAGGAUGGACUCGCGGCCUAUCAGGUAGUUGGUGAGGUAACGGCUCACCAAGCCUACGACGGGUAGCCGGCCUGAGAGGGUGACCGGCCACACUGGGACUGAGACACGGCCCAGACUCCUACGGGAGGCAGCAGUGGGGAAUAUUGCACAAUGGGCGCAAGCCUGAUGCAGCAACGCCGCGUGAGGGAUGACGGCCUUCGGGUUGUAAACCUCUUUUAGUAGGGAAGAAGCGAAAGUGACGGUACCUGCAGAAAAAGCACCGGCUAACUACGUGCCAGCAGCCGCGGUAAUACGUAGGGUGCGAGCGUUGUCCGGAAUUAUUGGGCGUAAAGAGCUCGUAGGCGGUCUGUCGCGUCUGCUGUGAAAACCCGAGGCUCAACCUCGGGCCUGCAGUGGGUACGGGCAGACUAGAGUGCGGUAGGGGAGAAUGGAAUUCCUGGUGUAGCGGUGGAAUGCGCAGAUAUCAGGAGGAACACCGAUGGCGAAGGCAGUUCUCUGGGCCGUAACUGACGCUGAGGAGCGAAAGCGUGGGGAGCGAACAGGAUUAGAUACCCUGGUAGUCCACGCCGUAAACGUUGGGCGCUAGAUGUGGGGAC
rnacentral:rRNA from 1 species